rnacentral:rRNA from 1 species
CCUACGGGUGGCUGCAGUCGAGGAUCUUCGGCAAUGGGCGCAAGCCUGACCGAGCGACGCCGCGUGCGGGACGAAGGCCUUCGGGUUGUAAACCGCUAAAGGGGGGAGAAAGGCCGCGAGGCGUGAUCGACCCCCAGUAAGCACGGGCUAAGUUCGUGCCAGCAGCCGCGGUAAGACGAACCGUGCGAACGUUAUUCGGAUUCACUGGGCUUAAAGGGCGCGUAGGCGGGCGGCGAGGUCCGACGGUGAAAUCCCACAGCUCAACUGUGGAACGGCCGCGGAGACCGGCCGCCUCGGGACGGACAGGGGUGCGCGGAACACUCGGUGGAGCGGUGAAAUGCGUUGAUACCGAGUGGAACACCGACGGCGAAGGCGGCGCACUGGGUCCGGUCCGACGCUGAGGCGCGAAAGCCAGGGGAGCGAACGGGAUUAGAUACCCC